rnacentral:lncRNA from 1 species
AAUCACCAGUCUUCUGCGUCGCUCACGCUGGGAGCUGUAGACCGGAGCUGUUCCUAUUCGGCCAUCUUGUCUCCUCCCGUGGGCUUUUGGCUCAAUUCUGAAUAAACAGUGAACAUCCAUGUGGGAGCAAUGAGGAGGAACUGUAGCAUCUGGAACAGUCCAAAAAGGAAGCUGGGAGUCAGCCCAUCACGAGGUUGCUUGAUCAGAAUCACAUGAACUGGAAAUUCCCUGUCUCCCCUUAACCAGCACUGGAAGCAGAUGGGAAGAGAAUAGCUGUGACUGACUCACACUCUAACCCAGCAACCCUCAGCAUACAAGUGGGAGACCAUAAAGUUUUUCAAGACCCCAAAAGAGGCCAAAGGUCUGAUAAUUGCUGGGAGAAGGUCCACUAUCCAAGAAGAGAAGAGGAAAAGGAAUUAAAGUCUCCAAGCACUGGGGAUGCAAGAAGAGAGUUGCACAGGAGAGAAAGAAGAAGUUGUCCACGGGGUGACCCUGCAAUUGGAGGGAAAUGCAUGUGGAUAUGUGCAGGGAGUCUAGGAAGUGAAGCCUUAGUGAUCAUUUACAAGAAUGAGGGUUAGGUAAAAUAAGGGAUGCAAAGCCACCUGUAGUCUAUUCUAACCUCACUCCAUCACUCUAUACAAUCUGUGUUUUAUCAUCUGAAAUGUUAAGUAAAGACCUGUUUGGGUCUUCUUCAGAAUCCCAUACAUUUGAGUUCAUUAGUC